UACGUAGGUGGCAAGCGUUGUCCGGAAUUAUUGGGCGUAAAGCGCGCGCAGGCGGUCCUUUAAGUCUGAUGUGAAAGCCCACGGCUCAACCGUGGAGGGUCAUUGGAAACUGGGGGACUUGAGUACAGAAGAGGAAAGCGGAAUUUCCGGUGUAGCGGUGAAAUGCGUAGAUAUCGGAAGGAACACCAGUGGCGAAAGCGGCUUCCUGGUCCAGCAUCGACGUCAGGCACGAAAGCGUGGGGAGCAAACAGGG
rnacentral:rRNA from 1 species